UGUAUGUAUUAUAAAAUUAAAUUAAUUUUUAGAAUUUGAGAAACUGUCAACAAUUUUAACAACAAAAGAAAAUAAAAACAUUAAAUAGAUAAUAAUCAGAAUUGACGUCACGACAAACAAUCCAGAAACGAAACAAAAUUCAAUUAGAACGCAUCACAACAAUGUAACCAAGAAUAAUAGUUUAGUUUCCCGACUACCUGUCGCCAUAUUCUGGAUUCAUGGUGUCGCAGUUAUUUUUCGUUGAACACCGAGAAAGUUGCGAUAACAGUUUUAAAAUGCAGUGGCUGCAGCAUGUAUUUGACUAAUAUUUGCUAUCUGAAACUAUUCUUGUUCAAUGUCUUAUAUACGAAAUAUGUGUACGCUUUCUAACAUAUGAAUGCCUACAUGUGAUUUGUCAAAAUUCCUGAAAAACGAUUAUCAUCUGCAACCAGCAUACCAUACAUAAAUUUAUAAUUUAAAUACUUGCU